CCUCAGAAGAGCCUGGAAACAAGAAGCGCCUACAGCCAGAAGAGACGUACAAGUGAUUCAUAAAUAAGACAAUUGCGAUGAAAAAAAAGUAUAACAUUUGAAACUCAAGUAACAAAUGGAAAAGGUCGAGCAGAACAGGUUUGAGAAACAAAACAAACUAUUCAAAUGCAAACAUUUGCAAACUUACUAUAUCGUCUGGUAAAUUAUGAAAAAUAAAGGAACCUAGGGGGAAUCAAGAACAAGGAAAACCUGAGAAACACAAUGUAUAUCAUUCUCCGCUAAAAUGACAGUAGCCAAGCGCUCGAGUAUAUAUAUUUCCUGUCGAUCAAAAGUCAGCAUUUUGUACCUCUAAACGGCGUUUGACGACAUUCAUUUCUCCGUCGAGCAAUAAUACGUGGCUAUAUUGCGGAAACGUCACAUACUUUUCCACUCGGCGUAGAUGCGCAGCGCUCGUGCUGAUAUACUAGGCGACUGCUGUGGCACUAAAUAGAUGGGCAAAACCUAGUGUACGGGCGCUCCAUACGGGAACUCAUUGUAUUACGCAAUACGUUGCCUAAUAGCAUAGUUGUUCUCGAAACUAGAGAUAUAAAAGGCGUUGCUGAAGAUAUCUCUCUUUCAAGAAAAAAAAAAGAGAGAGAAAUAAAGAAAACGUGAUUCCGCUUUAGCAGCAAACUGAAUCAUGCGCAGCAGAGCGCUUGGCGUGUUGAUUUAGUCGCAUGGCUUUUGCAAGGGCACUAGGUGGUAAUACUAACACGCAGUCGUCUAAUGAGCACUCGGCAACCGUGGCCUGGGCUUUGUGUUUUUUAUUCAUGUCAUAAUUAGCAAACCAAGUUUUCUGGUGACGUUCGUUCGGAGAACUGUCCUAAUUCGGCCGUAACCUUGCGAGCGAGUCUGCACGCGAGAGCGAAUGGCGUUCGCCGCAAGGCAGCGUCACAGAAGGGUGCUCUGCGACCGGGGUCAGCGUGGUGCGAACCGCGGUCCCGGGGCACACCGCUGCGCACUCAGGUGGAGAGCGACGUCGUCGACCCCCGGUGGCCUUGGCGUCGUCUGGCGCGGCAUUUGGCGCGCGCGCGUUUCUGCGGAGGGCAUGGGGGAAGGUCGCGUCGGCCUUGGCAUUGAAAAUAGCCUGCCGUCGCAAGGACGCUUUCGGGUCACGUCAGCCGCGGCCCUGAACGCCGCGCGCUGCCCCCAGGCGGCGCUCAGCGCGGAAGCAGACGCCCACUUCCCUGUUGUUCGAACCACUGGGUUCCGGGCCGCAGCGCGGUGUCCGCGCGCGGCUCAUCAGGUGCCUCGUCGCGUGCUUCCCGGCAGGCUCGAUAACCUGGCUCACCCUGUUGUCCUCGUGGCAUGAUGCCUCAUUGAUCACAGUUAUCCGUGGUCGCGCGCCUGUUUGGCUUAUUCCGAUAUAGCUCACUUUAUCGAAGAAAACGAGCGCUGAAGCGGUCACUCCGAAGAUGCAAGCAUUAUUUGCUGGAUUCUUUCUUUCUCGGCUUCAUUUCAGGUCAAUGUUUUCGUAGCGCUAUUGCGAAGUGUACUGCUAGCAGGCCGCCCUAGCUAUUCAUUUCACCUUGUGAGGCGUCCGAGGUAAAGGAAGUUAGAUCACCACCGCGUUACGUCUCAGAGACCCACAGCGUAGCAGUCACCCUUAUCUAGGCAGCAUCGUUUCACGCAGCGACGCAUAGUGCGCAGUUGGCGGCAACUGCGUAGCGUCAGGCCUUUGGCUUCAGCGCGCACUUGCUGCUGCGAAGCAGGGCUGGCUUCCCCUGUCUAUCGAGUAAAGUUCUAGAAAAGCGUUGCUGGCUUUUGCGUUUCAAAGUUAUUGAUCAGUUCAGCUAAAUGAUUCAAAAUGCGCAAUCUUCUACUGCGUAUAUUGAUAUUUCAGCGUGCAGCGGAUAUAGUGAGGAUUGGAGUCCCAUGACGCAAUUUCUGUUCAUGACAAUAUCUUUCUUACUAACCAUUGGUAUUUAGGCGUCGUAGGGACCUCGGUUAUUAUAGCCCGAAAUGAACGUCACCGUGUGGCUUCGAGGAGAACGACAGGACCAGACCAAUCGAAAGAAAAUCUCGUGUACCGGAAAUACGAGCCGAAGGAGCACCUUGCGUUGCACCGACUGUCGGGCAAGGCACAUUCAUGUGUCGCACAAAUACGAACAGGCAGACGUCAACACAAACAAGAGCGCGGCCGGUGCGAUAUCUAACCCUUUCGUCGCCCUUUUCCAAGCCGCCAACUUUCGGGUUUGUUUCGCUUCCUCGGUUGUGUGUCGCAGGUGCCUCCGGUUCGACACCUUGACAGGCGCUUCGCCCUCGCCGCUGCGCCCAUUGCGGCCCUCCUUAUGCCAGCUCGCGUUUUCGUUGUUUUAUUAAGCGGCCCCCUUUCCCUCACUCGGAAGGUUGCCAGAGCCGCUGCUCUCGUUGCCCGACGCAGCAGGACAGCUCUCUGCUGUCGAAAGCCAGUUGCCGCAGGCUGCGCCGGUGACGUCAGAUGUCACGUGCAGCGUGACGUCAAAUUUGGUCAAGUUGCGCGCUGAUGCGUCACGCAGGUCCCCGUUCGCCGGGCUCGGAGGGGUUCAGCUUGAGGCGCACCGCGUACGCCGGAUACGGUAUUAUAUACUUGUAUACUUUCCAUUCUAUUUGCUUCGUGCUGAAAAAAAAAAAAAGAAAAAGGAAGGAACAAAGGAAGGAAGAAAUUACUUGCUGCCCUGUUUCUCGCAGGCAAUUUCAUUGGAAUGGUUCUACGCACUACUGUUGAUGCCGUGGCGUUACUUCACAAAGCAUUACGCAAGGAAAGCCGCCUGGAAGCCUUCCGUCGGAGGCCUGGUGAUUAAUUCUGUGCGCUCACUGCGGUUGUUGUUGUAACAUCUGCGGAAAAGAGGCUUCAACAUGAGAAAAAAAAACUAUUAUCAUGCAGCCAUGGCUUCUCUUCCUUUUUUAUUCGCCACUAUACAAAUGACAAACACGGACGGUAGCGACGGCAUGACACUCAGCAGCAAGGAAAUGUAUGACAACAAAAUUGAAGAAUAUCCACGGAGAAGAAAUAACCUGGAACAUCUGUGAAGGUCAAAGUCAAGAACCUGGGCGCGAAGAAGCCUUCUAAGAAAGUGAACCAUGUCUGUGUCGCUUUUGCCUCUACUCUCUUCGUCUAUUACAGCUGCUGCGAUAUUUCCCAGUGACAAUAUAGCUACUGUGGACGACACGUCGGCGCCGCCGUCACUGCUGUCCAUGACAUCAUUCAGCCUUCCCGGUAGAUGCUCACUGCACAUAAAGUUUCCUUCCUUUGACACAAAGAAUAAACGAAUGAAGUAAGCACUUAUUCAAGGAAAUAAAGCUGUUAUGGUCUUUCCAUACCAAAAGUACAAAAAUCAUAUCCUGGGUGCUCAUAAUGUAUCAUUGCACGCUAUUUGCCCAGCGCCCUAAAUAUAUAUCGAACGGCCGAAUUCGAACCCUU